rnacentral:rRNA from 1 species
GGGAUAGAGCAUUGUAAUUAUUGCUCUUCAACGAGGAAUUCCUAGUAAGCGCAAGUCAUCAGCUUGCGUUGAUUACGUCCCUGCCCUUUGUACACACCGCCCGUCGCUAGUACCGAUUGAAUGGCUUAGUGAGGCCUC